rnacentral:rRNA from 1 species
CACGUAGGGCGCAAGCGUUUGUCCGGAAUUAUUGGGCGUAAAGAGCUCGUAGGCGGUCUGUUGCGUCCGCUGUGAAAACUCGGGGCUUAACCCCGAGCCUGCAGUGGAUACGGGCAGACUAGAGGUAGGUAGGGGAGAAUGGAAUUCCCGGUGUAGCGGUGAAAUGCGCAGAUAUGGGGAGGAACACCGGUGGCGAAGGCGGCCAUCUGGACGGAUACUGACGCUGAGACGCGAAAGCGUGGGUAGCAAACAGG